UCCCGGCCCGCUUUUAUUUAUUUUGGAUUAGCCGGUUGCCACCCACCCACCCUCUGCCCUGUCCCCUCGGUCCGCGCCCCCUCCCUGCCGCGCCCCCAUAGGACUGUUUUGUAUUUGUGCAUAGCUAGAGCCAGGGCGGAGGGGGCUGCUCUAGGCCGUGGCCCUAACCGUUGUUUUUUUAUUCUGAUUUUCCCCUCUUUUAUUCUUUUCCUCUUUUUUUUUUUUUUUUAAGAAAUCCGUUUUUAAACUAUUUCUAGGUUUGUGAAUGUGAAGCCCCAGGCCGCAGGGGGCAAGGGGCCAGGCGCCCCCCACCAGCUGAGAACAAAGUGUCUAUGUGGGUGUGGGCCGGCCGCCUCCCUCCAGCCCCGGACAGGAGGGCAGGGCUGCGGGCAGGCCAGGCCGAGCCCUGGAACCAUCCCGUCCUGUAUCAUAUGUAAAUACUGUGAGGUGAAGCCCCCAGCCCUCUCUGAGAUCCCCGGGGGUGAGGGUCUCCCCCCUCCCCGGUUUCUGUCCCCUUAGACACCGUUACUGUAAGCUUGCAGGCCUCCGCUGUGGCCGCGGCAGGCCCACUCUCUCAGGCCCUGGGGGGCCUGUUCACCCCGAAAGCCUGGUGUGGGGCCAAGGGGCACAGGAAGAGCAGGGCUUGCCCGGAGCCACAGCUGGAAAGGAAUUAACUCUCCAAAGGUCUCCCCGCCCCUGGCCUCCGCUGGGCCUCCACGGUUUCUGCUCUGAGCCCCGCCCUGCCGUGAGUGGGCACCCGGGGGGCACUUUGGAUGGUCUCAUGGCCAGAGCCCCGCUCAAAGAAGAAACAGAGGCUCAGAGUGUAAAUCUUCACGAACAGUGGCUGGCCUGGCAGGGCUGAGGCCCCCACCGUUGUCACCCCCCUUCUCUGCGUCCCUCUCCCCCCCGGGUCUGAGGCUGAGGGCCUGAGCUCCCUUCCCCAUCAGAGCCCCCACCCCUGAGACCCCCCCUUUGGAGAGUUAAUUGUCUGUGUGAGGUGCUUUACCUUUUAGCCCUGAGAACACAAAGCAAUAAUCUUUGUUACUGAGAUGCGCGGCUGUUCGUGUUUUUGGGUUUUUUUUUGUUUGUUUUUGUUUUUGUUAAUGUUUCCUAAUAAAAGAGAAGCUGCAUUUUAUUGGUUUUUAUUUUUAAUUUUCUACACGUUUGAGCUGAGUUCUGAGAGACUUGGCUACCCUCUUCCCCCAGGUCCCUGAGCCUCCCACCCCUCCUGGCCCCUCCUUGGGCUCAGGACCCUGGAAUUCCGUUUUCUGAUUUGUUUGGGGAAUUUUUUUUAUUUUAAAGAUGUUACAUGGUGUUUCGAAGCCAGCAAGUUACCGCUCUCCGGUGUCUCUUCUCUCCACAUCUGUAACUUCUUUUUCCAGGUUUUAUUUUCAGUUUUAAAUUCCUAAUAAAUUAUUUGAAAACG